rnacentral:rRNA from 1 species
AAUAUUGCGCAAUGGGGGAAACCCUGACGCAGCAACGCCGCGUGAGCGAAGAAGGCCUUCGGGUCGUAAAGCUCUGUCUAGAGGGAUGAAUAAUGACAGUACCUCUGGAGGAAGCCCCGGCUAACUACGUGCCAGCAGCCGCGGUAAUACGUAGGGGGCGAGCGUUAUCCGGAAUUACUGGGCGUAAAGGGUGCGUAGGCGGCCUUUUAAGUCAGAUGUGAAAGGCUACGGCUUAACCGUAGUUAGCAUUUGAAACUAAAAGGCUUGAGUGCAGGAGAGGAGAGUGGAAUUCCUAGUGUAGCGGUGAAAUGCGUGGAUAUUAGGAGGAACACCAGUGGCGAAGGCGACUCUCUGGACUGCAACUGACGCUGAGGCACGAAAGCGUGGGGAGCGAAC